GCUGCACCUACAGGGCUGCACCUACAGGGCUGCACACUUCAGAGGACUUUUUAUAGACAGCGCCACCUACCGCAAUAGAUGAUCACUAACGUGCACAAUUUACGUUUUAAAUUGGUGAUUUCACUCAAAAUACACUUACAAUACAAAAGGCUUAUUCAGGAAGAAUUCCCCGUUCAUUUUAACCCCUGUCAGUUUUUCUACACAGCCGGAGGCUGCACUUUCAGGAACACACUGAUAGGACCGCAGUUUAAGGGCCGCCAACUUCUUCUCGGGCCCCGUUGUUCGUGUUUCCCACUGUGUUGAUGCUAAACGAAGUAGCAGCAUUUAUCGCCAUGAUGGACGACGGUAACCAUAUGGACAUCCCUUUGAUAGAGAAGUGGUGGUGUCUUCUUCCCAUGGAGCGUUUCCAAACAGAGGGAUGAAUAUUUAUGUUCGAAAUAUAUAGCCAGAGGUUCGCUUUCUGGACUAAUGAAGCCAGAAGCCUGCUCCAGGGAACCCUGAAGCCUGUUUACACAGUGCCAAGGCGGGGUGCUGUCACUGAUGAAGUUCUGCUCUAUAUGCAGGCUGUCACUGAACGCACUGCAAAGGAAACCAGACUGGUGGACUUCAUUAUCCAGUCAAAGGGAAUUGAGGAGUAUUUGGUGGAUGUACUUAGUGGCAAACACUCUACUUGGAUUCAUCAGAAACCUUGUUGCCAGAUGCCUGUCUACCUGGAUAGUGAGGAACAACAGGACAAGCUUUUUGCAUUCUUAAAGACUGUACUGCACAGAGGACCACAACACAACUGAGCUUCACAGAUGAAGUUGUGUUCAUCUUUGAUGUUCUCUUUCCAGAGGCCAUCAUAUAUGGCCUGUCUAUGCAGGACAAUCUGCCCCUGCAUGAGGCUGAGCAGGUCUUCUUCAGUGGUCCAGCUUACCAUCAAAGUGAAGUGGAGGAGUUUUGUCAAAGGAUUUAAAAAGACCUGAAGAAAGAAGGCAGACUGUUCAGUUGAAGGAAGUGAGAUCAGAGGUUUAGCAGCGGGAGUCAUAGACUUCACUUACUUGUGUGUGCGUGCGUGCGUGCGUGCGUGCGUGCGUGCGUGCGUGCGUGCGUGCGUGCGUGCGUGCGUGCGUGCGUGCGUGCGCGCGUGCGUGCGUGCGUGCGUGCGUGCGUGCGUGCGUGUGUGCGCGCGUGCGUGUGAGAGAGAGGCACUGGAGAAGGUUUUGUCCAGUCUGCUGGUAUCUGUGGCUCCAUGGGUGCACAUUUGUGGUCAGUUUGGUCCAUAUCCACAAAACUCACCAUCAUUCAGCAAACAACUUUUGCAGCACUUUGCUUCACUUUACAUUCAUCUUUGGAUUGACCGUGUCUUUAGAUUCAAAUAUCUGCUGUUUAGAGUGAUGAAAGAAUUGUGUAUUGCUCUCACCAUAAGCUAAACAAAGCUUACAUGACUUUCAGUCUCAGUUGGAAGCACAAUAUAAGCUGUAUAUAAAUUACAACGUUAGCUCUGUUAAGCUUGCUCAUGUAUAUGCCACUUAUUCAAAGUUUAUCUUGAUUGCAAGUGCUGUAUUCACAGUUUCUGCUUAAAAACUGCAUGUUCAAUAAUAUUUAGAUUUUAUGCUAUUGCAUAAACGGUUGCAUUUGUAGAGAAUGUGUCUAACCAUCAGACCAUUUACAUGUUAUCCAAAUGACCCAAAAUAGUUAUAAGGCUUUUAUCUUAUUUGAGCCAAAAGAUGUAUUUAAUUACAAUUUGUAAAACCUCAUCAUGCUCUUGUCUUUCUAUGGUGAUGAAAUUCAGAUUUAAUAUAAAAGAAAUAGCUUCAAGGCUGUACUUGAUUCACAUUCACCAUCCCUGCUAAUAACCUGCAACAACAUACUGAGUAUAAGUCACAUUUUGGAGCUGUACUUUAUCUGGCUGUUGCUGGUGUACACUGUUGUCCUCUGGAUGUUAUUAGUUUUUAAAGGGAACUUGUAGCUUUUUCUUUAAUGGUCAAAUUGUUUUUUUUUCUUUGCUAUUUUGUGUCUUGUAUUCAGUUGUAUUUGUGUCAUUGUGUGAAGUAUGGCUGUCAUUGUAAGGAUCUCCUUCCCACAGUAGAUGUGUCAAUUGCCCAGCAGGAUCAUACCUGCUUGGGUGGCUGUAUUUUUCUUCUGUAUUCUGUAGUGCUUUAAAAAAAAAAAAAGAUGUUUAUUGUGAUUUGGACUAGUUGCUUUUGUACUUGCUUGCUGAUGUCUGUAAAGUUGAAUGGGGGAGUUCAUUCCAGAGGAAAAGUGGAGGAACUACUAAUGUGAAGAUUGAAUAUUAAGAUGUACUACUUGUUAGAUGUGUUCCACAUCACUAUGUAUGUUAUUUUCUAUGUUUUGCAUGACAUGCAGGUAAUUGGAAUGAUUUAUGUUGUCUGGAUGUUGUCAUUAAAC
ensembl:lncRNA